rnacentral:ncRNA from 1 species
AAGGGUUCCAUGUGAACAGCAUUUGAACAUGGGUCAGUCAGUCCUGAGAGAUGGGCGAGCGCCAUUUGAAGGGACGGGCGAUGGCCUCCAUUGCCCUCAGUGGAUCGAAAGGAAGUGGGGCUCAGAUCCCCGAAUCCGGAGUGGCGGAGAUGGGCACCACAAGGCGUCCAGUGCAGUAACGCAACCAAUCCCAGAGAAGCUGGCGGGAGCCCCGGGGAGAAGGGCAGGGCGCCCUGGCUCACUCGGAGAGAGGGCCCGGACCUUGGAAGUGUCGCGGUUCCGGCGGCAUCCGGGGAGCUCUCGCUGGCCCUUGAGAAUCCCGGGGAGAGGGUGUAAAUCUUGCCCCCCGCCAUACCCAUAUCCAAACCUGAGGU